GGCUGUCGUCAGCUCGUGUCGUGAGAUGUUGGGUUAAGUCCCGCAACGAGCGCAACCCUCGCCCUUAGUUACCAUCAUUAAGUUGGGUACUCUAGGGGACUGCCGGUGACAAUCCGGAGGAAGGUGGGGAUGACGUCAAGUCAUCAUGGCUUACGGGCUGGGCUACACACGUGCUACAAUGGCGGUGACAGUGGGCAGCGAUGGGGCGACCCUGAGCUAAUCUCCAAAAACCGUCUCAGUUCGGAUUGUUCUCUGCAACUCGAGAGCAUGAAGUCGGAAUCGCUAGUAAUCGCGUAUCAGCAUGACGCGGUGAAUACGUUCCCGGGCCUU
rnacentral:rRNA from 1 species